GUUUCGCUUUUUUUUUUUGUUUUUGUUGUUUUCAAUUGUUCGCCAUUCAAUGAGACUGAAAGUGAUAAUGGGCAGCCAACAAUAGCAACAACAGCAAACAACGAGUCAACAGUCAACAUAACAUAAUUAAAGCUGCAACAACAAUAGUAACAAGAAGAGUGCGCGACAUUACCAUUUAAUUGCAAGCAUUUAGUCAGCAUUUAACUUUGCAUAAAACUUACUCACACACACACACACACAUGCUCAUAGACAAAAGCUCUCUGCUCUUUCGAUCCCACGCUUAACAUUAACAUUGCCAUAACAGCAGCAUUAACAGCAAUCGCGGCUCAACAGCAGCUUCCAUUUUAGUCUGUGAUUUGCCCUUUUUGCAAUGCAAGCAAAAAAAGAGAGAAGAAAAAAAGAAAAUCAAAGCGAAAGAAAUGCACUUUCGAUUUCCAGUUGUUAACAUUAUCGAGAUGUCUGCGGGAAUAAUAAAAUCCAACUAAUUGUGAUAAUUAAACGUGCGUUACAACUAUUAUGUGUUAUUGUUAAUGGAUUUAAUAAGCUUCGAAUUGCGGCGUCUGACAUGUCAAGGUCUCUGGAUCCGACAUCUCUACUCGACUGUCGAGACGCAAACAAAGUUAAAUGAAACAUAGUAAAGAGCGAAAUGAUUAUAUGAAUGCGGAUUUCAACAAACAAAUUUAAUAAGGAACAAGUGAGUUAAGGUGCAAGUGAAAAAUGGGAUCAUUAAUAAAUUUAAAAGGAAUUGAAGUGAGUGGAAGUGAAAUAUCAUAAGAAUAAAGUGAAUAAGAAGAAGGAUUAAGUUAGUAAAAAUAUAUGUGACAGUGCAGUGUAUAGAAAGAAGUGUUAUUAUUAUUGAGAAAUGUAAUAAAAAUAAUGUGAGUGAAAGUGCAUGUGAAAUGUAUAAAAGUGGCAUUAUUAACAAAUUCAAUAAUAAAGUGAAAGAAAGUGCAAGUGAAAUGUGUUUAUAUAUAAGUGUUCUUAUUAUUAUUAAAUGUAAUAAGGAUAAAGUGAGUGAAAGUGAAUUUGUGAUAAUUGUGGCUAAAAUAUAAAACAACGCAAUCAGAAGGCAGUUG